rnacentral:rRNA from 1 species
UACGUAGGGUGCAAGCGUUAAUCGGAAUUACUGGGCGUAAAGCGUGCGCAGGCGGUGAUGUAAGUCAGAUGUGAAAUCCCCGGGCUCAACCUGGGAACUGCAUUUGUGACUGCAUCGCUGGAGUGCGGCAGAGGGGGAUGGAAUUCCGCGUGUAGCAGUGAAAUGCGUAGAUAUGCGGAGGAACACCUGCGGCGAAGGCGGGUAGCUGGGCCAACACUGACGCUGAGACGCGAAAGCUAGGGGAGCAAACGGG